GGGCCUGUAGUUUAACGGCAAAACACUACAUUCGCAUUGUAGAGACGGCAGUUCGAUUCUGCCUGGGUCCACAA
rnacentral:tRNA from 1 species